rnacentral:lncRNA from 1 species
GUUCCUAUAGCAACCCUGUGAGGGGAGUCCUGUUGUUCCCACUUUUCAGGUGCGGAAAAUGAGGCAGAGGAGUUAAGCUAUUUUCUCGAGCUACCACCACUGCAGUGAUCUCAUCAAUGAUGUCUCCCCAAAAUGGGGUUUGAAUCUACCUUCAGGCAGCCUCUGCCCUUGUGAUGGUAGGAUGGCAGUCCAGCUUCAGGACUACCUCUCACCAGCUCAGCACCUUAGUGAAAAGAGAACUCCUCCCAAGGGUUUAAAUACAAGCCCUAGGACUGCAUUUUAUUGAAUGUAUUAUAUAAUGUAUUAUAAUAUACUUGAGUCACAUGCCAAGCCAUACCAUGUAUCCAUCCUGGAAACCUGGAGGUGGAGUCAACCCCACCUAAAUCAACAUGGCCUGAGAAUGGGGAAGGAGAAGUUCUCCAAGGGCAAGGCGGAGGUUCUUGACAGAAGAGGAGAGAGACGCUGAGUAGAUGAGAAGAGCCAACAUCUACCACAGAGCGGAAAACAACAACCUUGAUUCUCAUGACAAGCCUGAAAGCCUAUGUGAUCUAGGUAGGGUUUCUGGAGAAGACUUUCGAUCUUUCUUGCUGGACUGCAACCUGGGUGGAUGUGAGGCUGAGGCUGCGGCUGCUGCCAGCAUUGCUACUACUUGGAGGCGGGAAGAACUGAGAGAUGCAGACACGAGGUCUUGGAAACAGCACUUGAGGCCUGAAUCAAGCUGCAUCUGAAACCAGACCUAUACCUGGGCUUUCCAGUUAC